rnacentral:rRNA from 1 species
GUAGGCGGUUUGUCGCGUCUGCUGUGAAAAUCCGGGGCUCAACCCCGGACUUGCAGUGGGUACGGGCAGACUAGAGUGUGGUAGGGGAGACUGGAAUUCCUGGUGUAGCGGUGAAAUGCGCAGAUAUCAGGAGGAACACCGAUGGCGAAGGCAGGUCUCUGGGCCACUACUGACGCUGAGAAGCGAAAGCAUGGGGAGCGAACAGGAUUAGAUACCCUGGUAGUCCAUGCCGUAAACGUUGGGCGCUAGGUGUGGGACUCAUUCCACGAGUUCCGUGCCGCAGCUAACGCAUUAAGCGCCCCGCCUGGGGAGUACGGCCGCAAGGCUAAAACUCAAAGGAAUUGACGGGGGCCCGCACAAGCGGCGGAGCAUGCGGAUUAAUUCGAUGCAACGCGAAGAACCUUACCAAGGCUUGACAUAUACCGGAAACAUCCAGAGAUGGGUGCCCCUUUUGGUCGGUAUACAGGUGGUGCAUGGUUGUCGUCAGCUCGUGUCGUGAGAUGUUGGGUUAAGUCCCGCAACGAGCGCAACCCUCGUUCUAUGUUGCCAGCACGUGAUGGUGGGGACUCAUAGGAGACUGCCGGGGUCAACUCGGAGGAAGGUGGGGAUGACGUCAAAUCAUCAUGCCCCUUAUGUCUUGGGCUUCACGCAUGCUACAAUGGCCGGUACAAAGGGCUGCGAUACCGUAAGGUGGAGCGAAUCCCAAAAAACCGGUCUCAGUUCGGAUUGGGGUCUGCAACUCGACCCCAUGAAGUCGGAGUCGCUA